ACUCGCCCUUGUACCACACUCGAUCCAUCCUCCAAGUUGUAGUUUGCAAUAUAUUCCUCCAUUAAUGACACAUUAAUUGAUGGUAAGCAAUCUGACAGGUGUAAAAACUGCAACAAUUCUGCAUUUCAAAAGUCUUUUAUUCUUUUCGGCAUCCAGCAAAUCUCUAACUUCAUCAACUCUAUAUUGGUAAUGAUUAUCAAAGAAGGUAGUUUUGAUGCACGUCUAGCUUUCACAUUUUAUCCACUGUCCUCUUUGUCUACAACUUGCUUUGUACUUUCA
rnacentral:lncRNA from 1 species